UUAUCAUAUGUUAAAUAGGUCAUUGUGUGUGUUCAAGUCCUUACGUGACACCGAACGCCCAAACGGCACCUUCGUCGGACCUACUUACACCAGGUGAGUUCAUACCCCUGAAUGAACCUUUUAAAUGUUUUUACAUGUUUUAUAGGGGGGAAUACAAGUUAAACAUGCCAGUUAUCAUAUCAAUCACAUGUGAUUGAUAACCCGCAUGCACAAGAUUUUACCACUGUACACUGUUUUACCGAGUAGGACACUAUAAAUGGCUUUCAAAAAGGGUUUUCACUUGUUCAAGUUCUUACUUUUAUUGCUUUAUCAAAGUUCCAUUUUCAAACUGAUUUAUGAAAGAUUCCCAAAGAUUUCUAAAGGUUUUCACACUUAUUUUACCAAAGAAUACAAAUGCGAUUUUCCUGAGUAUAAAGGUUUUUCCAAGGUUUUCAUGUAUACUUUUACUUGUUAGUUACUGCUGCUUCACUUAUACUUAUUUUUAAACUCCUACUCGAUAACGCUUUCACUUCGUGAUGCGUUUAUACUUGUUAUUGUCUCUAUUUCGCUUAUACUUGUAGUCGCUUAUACUUGAUAGACGCUCUUACUUCACUUAUCGUCGUUUCCACUUCGUGAUACACUUAUACUUGGUACACUUAUACUUCACGAUUCGAUUAUCCCACACUGUACGCUUAUACUUCACGACUCGGAUAUUCCACUGUACGCUUAUACUUCACGACUCGGAUAUUUCACUGUACGCUUAUACUUCACAAGUCGGUUAUUCCACACUGUACACUUAUACUUCACUGUAUGAUUCCACUUGAUACACACUCAAGCGUAGUUAGAUGUAUGUCUGUGCUUGUAUAGAUGCAUAUAAAUAAUGAUUGAAGGACUUAGGAAGGCUUGUCCGCCCUAUUUCCUUUUCUUCGUUGAGAUGUGGUCUGGUGGGAUCGGAUGUCCAUCCGAAGGUCGUUUGAUUCAUUACUUAUAUAUUAUGUACACAAGCAUAGACAUACGGGUUUACUUCAGUCAAUUCAGUUAAGAGUCUCUACCUCUAGUUCAACACUUACAUUAGAAACCCACUAGUUGGAAGUCUCUACCCACUAUUUGGGAUGCAUCUUCAGGACACGGCCUUCUCCGUCGUCUAGUUGGUAACCAGAGUCUCCUGUAGGGAGAGCGGACAUUGUGUGUAUAGAUCUAUACGGGAUUGACAACCCCGCACCCAGACUGCUAGCUACAGUCCCGGCCUACCAAGCCAACGGGUGACAAAUGUCACAUUUUAGACGCUUGUAGGGCGUCUGGUACUCUAGUCAGUAUGGUUACGAGUAUCCCGGGUUACCUUAUAAUUCAUUGGCUUUAAGGUAACGGUAUUUCGCCAGCAAUUUACACUGUAUGCUGGUAAUUCAUUUUCAGAGUCACACUGUUUUGACCUUACAAGACGUAUCUUUCAUUUGAUACUGUCUGGGGUCUGUCUCCUCUGUUUUGACCUUACAAGACGUAUCUCUCAUUUGAUGCUGUCUGGGGUCUGUAUCCACUGUAUUCACAGUAUCCACUGUAUUCACUGUAUUCACUGUUUUAGACCUUGCUAGACAUAUCUUUCAUUUGAUAUUGUCUGCGGUCUGUAUUCACUGUUUUGGACCUUACCAGCUGUACCUUUCAUUUGGUACCUUCUGGGGUCUGUGUCUCUAUUUGUUAGACUGAACCAGGCGUGUCGUUCGUUCGAUACUCUCCUGGAGUCUAUGAUUCCUUUGCCUUAGUCAGCAGUCCUCACUGCUGAGGCAUAUGUUAUUUCCCUGUUGUCUCUUGCUUUCUUUAAUAAUCAAAUUCAGUAUUUUGAUAAUGAUAGCAAUUAAGGGAAAACUACUUUUUACCACAUAACACUGACCAGUCUUGGUAGAAGGCUGCUUUUAUUAAAGAAAAUAUAGGAUUUUCUGGAAAGAACUCUAAUACACUGUAAACACUUAAACUAUUACUUUAUAAAGUUAUUUGAAUGAAAUGUCACUAAAUACUUAUGAACUCACCAGCAUUUGUAAAAAUGCUGAUACUCGCUUUUCAAAUAACUUGUAUUCUCAGGUUAGCAUUAGACAGGUACAUCCCCGGAGCUGUUGAUGAAGAUAGCUUAGUACCACGCUGUAUUUAUUCUAUUACUUGUAUUACUUUGAUGUAGUAAUGUAACCAUGUAAAACUAUUACUAUUAAUGCAAUGUUUUGUUGUACUUUGAUUACUAUAAUGCAUGUGUUGUGAUACUUGACAUGACGUCAUCCACCCCAGAACGUUUCCGCCGUUCCGGUUUUGGGGUGUGACAGAUUGGUAUCAGAGCAUUGUUUAUAGUGAGCUAAGUAUAUCAAUUCAUAAAAGAUAUACAACCUAUAAACACAAAGGGAUAAAACACUCUGACCAAGAAUUAUACUUUAAAAUAUAACCAUAUUUUACCAAAGUAUAAUAACAUCCAGAAUCUAAACACUCGAACAAAAGUAUCACAAGAAGAACAAUAAUAAAAGUCUUCGGAUGUUGAGCACUACAGUCAAACCUGGGCAGUUAUGUAAUCGUAAGCUGGGAUAAAUGUAACCUGAUCAACUACAUUUAUCCGAGAUGCGAUGAACGUGUGCUCGGGAGUGAUAGUGGUGUGCAGCAGGUCUGAAACUUACCAACUAGGAAUGCUAGAGCCAAACAUAAAGUUAAAAUACUAUAGGAGUAUUUUAGAACACUAAAAGAUCCACACCAAUCCCAGAAUGAAACUCAGAAGAUAAGAAUCAAACAAGAGUUAAAAUACCAUAGGGGUGUUUUUGAAUCCAUAACUAACCUUGUGUGAAGAACUAAAAAGAUCCUUAUUGAUAGACCUACAACUGCAGAGGGUAUACUCCCAAGGUUAUAUAUAAUAAGGAUCCCAUAGGCUAAGAAUGUGUGGUUUCGCCCUAUUUCCUUUUCCUCGUUGGGAUGUGGUUCUAGAGUAGUAUCACAUAUUCCAAGGCCUAUCGGAUCUAAACUAUAUAUGAUUUGUAUACCCUGUGUAAUCGUAGCAGGACUCGAUAUGGAUCAUCUAGUGAAAUGUUAAUAAUCUCUUAGGAUUCUUUAGACAUUUCCAUUCUCGCACGAACCCUGUAGACAACCCUAUCAACUUCGGUGCUUGACAGAAGAGUUGACUUCGACCCCGAUGAGGUUCAUUGAGAAGAUUUCAUGUUCGGAAAUGAAUGAACUGGGUCGAGACUAUUGAAUUCACCAGGUGCCUAUAUUCUUUUAGGGACAUCGGUGAGAGAUUCGCCUAAACUUCGGAGAUUCCCAGUCAUCCAUCAUGAAGUGGUGACACCCAUAGUUGGAAUCAGAAGGAAGGCGGGAUAGAAAUUCAAUAUGUCUUCACAAGAAAAGAACCCUAGGUAACUACCCGAAGGAAACCAAUGCCGAUACCAGCCAAAGAUACGAGACAGACAGAGGGAGCCAGUACAUGGAACCUGAGAAUUGUCUUUUCCUCGUAUUCGUCACACUAAUGAACCCCUAAAAUAAUACAAUUUAGUGAGUUAGUGGUUACACUACUGACGCUAUGUGUUAGGUAAAUCGUCGAUUCCCGUUGCCAGAUAUACGAUUAGGGCAGAUCCCCGCAUCUCUAUUGAGAGAAUUUUAGCCAUCUGCUCUUAUGAGCCUCUCUUCCCGCAGUUUCGUUCCGAACCGUUCUAAAAUCUCUCUAGGCCGGAGAGUGAAACCUUUCCCAAUAUAAAGGUAACUUAGUAGGAACGACUCGCAUCUUAUGGCCUUUUUUCCGAUACUCAUGUACCCACAUCGAUUACCAGGACUACAUCAUAGGGAUGUAGGUCGACACUCAGACGACCAGUACCCGAGGCACGGGAAAAUUUAUGCCUAAUACGUUCAGGACAGAAAUAUCCAGGGUUAACCAUCGUCUCUCAUUACCUUGUAUUCCUUUCUGUGUGGGAAAAUCGUGCCACCGAAGAAGCGUAACCAAUCCACAAGCAAGAAACCUACUCUCUUAUUCGAUGAAGCUACGUUCCAAGCUGCAGUCUCAGCAGCCGUAGCAGCUGUCAUGACUCACCUGAAUGCUAACACCGCCAAAGUUAGCAAGGGCCAUGUCGGGAUUUCCAAUCCUGGCAAUGGACAUCAGCAACCAACACUUCCAUACUCAGCCACCCAAGAACCUCACCCAAACCCACUAAAGAGAAAACUCAAGAUUGAGGAGGGAAGUACCUCGGCUCAAGGACCUUCCGAAGGGCAACGAGCUGAGGCAGUCUAUACCCCUGUCAAUCCUUCCCUCCCGACUCCAAGAAGACCAUACCUAGGAGACCUUCCCCACUGCAGCAAGUGCAGCUACCAUCAUCAUGGUGCCUGCCGGGAACUCUUAUGUGCUAGGUGCAACAUGAAGGGGCAUACGGCUCGUAUAUGCAGAACUCCGGUGGAGCGUAUUGCAUCAAUCACCAAUGUGACGACAAAUCCAGUUUGUCGUAUAUGUGGUGAAACGGGACACCUCAAGAAGGACUGCCCAACCGAAGGGAAAGACAAAGGCAUAAGAGAAGUGUAACUCUAAUGCUUAGGGAGAAGCAUCAAGGAACUCGGUAGAUUUUGGUACGUCUCUCGAUCUCAUAUGACUAAACUAAAUACAUUAAAAGAUUAAUUCAAAAUGUAAAUUCUUCCCAGUAAGGCGAAAGUCGCAGCACUGUUAUAAGAUUUAAAAAUUCAUCAGGUAAAACUAUAAUGGCUAAACAUAUACGUUACGGCCAUGUAUAUUUAAGAUGGACAGACCUAGAGUGAGCGAAUGCCGCCUCAUUUCCUGUUCCUCGUUUGGUUGUGGAUUUAGGGCGGGGUCGCUCACUCAACAGUCCUCCCCACCUUAAAUAUACAUGACUAGUAUAUGUGAGGCGAUUAUAGAAAUGCCUUGUGAGAAUCCAUUCAUGAAAAGGUACUCUAUUCGGAAACACUUAGAACUCUCUAUAGUUCCACGUCGACUCUAUCGGUCCAAGUAUCCGCGGUAGUGAUACAUAGGACGAAACCCGAGACGCCUAGAACUUGUGUGCCUGUUCGGCACAUGACUCUAUCGAUCUUCACUUUAUAUCAUGUCGGAGUGUGCCAACUUCGACGACUCUAUUGAUCACGGUUUGACUUCGUGCAACCGUGUGUACAUCCUUAGUGUUGUGUAAAAAGAACUUUCUCCGUAGCCAUGUCGGCAAAUAAAGGUUCUUCCGAACCUAAACAUAACACAAAUAAUCUAACCUAAUGUGAUCCGUUAAUCGUCCCUCUUAUCUCAAACCUUCCGAAGUACCCAAGAGGGGGUACCAUGCGCCGUUGACCGAACCCUCGUAGUCAGAUGAACACCGAAGUGAACGACACUGCAGAUACUCCAGAAGACGAAAACCAUCCGGAGCAUACUCAAAAGAAUCCCUAGAAUGACCCUUCGCACCUCGCACAUCAGGUUCGUGAACCCAGAGAACAGAACUCAUGAGACUGACCACUAUAACCAGGUAUAUGCAUAAAGGUGGCAUAUAAUUUAGAUCAAAAAGAUUUAAGGUGUGUAUUUCCUCCCUAUUCUCUGUUCCUCGUUGGGUUGUGGGUUUGGGGUGGAGUCGCACAGCUGAACAUCCUGCCGACCUCAAUUAUAUACUGCUUGCAUACACCCGGUAUUUGUAGUUAGGCUAAGCAUUAGCUCUACCACGAACCUCUUAGAAAAGCCCUUCACCCUAUUCCAUAACGUAGGAGCCGGAAUCAAGAGAAUCAUUGCGGAUUGAGCUAGUAAAGUUCCUAGUGAUGAGACCCUAUACUCACUAGAUUCGACCUAGACCGAGGAAACUCAGAACCUUCGGAAGAGUAGUUGCAGUAGACGCUCGCACUACUCAGGCACCUUUCCGCCCAGUUAUAGACAAGUAGUGCUUAUCAUCCUCCACCCUCUCGCAAGGAGGAAAUCGUCGUCGCCUGGUAGACGAAGAAUCACACUUUCCGAAGUAAACACUAGAAUACCGAGAACCAUAGGAUAACCUUCGCAGCCAACAAUACUUGAUCAAAGAACGAAAGUAGUUGCGUAAGCCUCAUGACCCUGAUCCCGAAGAGGUUAUAGACUUGAAACCAGUCCUAGUGUUAGUCGAAGGGUUAUGCAGGAGCAUACACUUUCCACGCUAGAAUAAACCACGGUCUUAGAGAUUCAUUGGACUAUUAGGUGUUCCACGAAUACUAUCUCACGCUGAGAUAGUAGAACCACCUCCAGAGACAGUCCGACACUUGUCUGGUGAAACCAUAUAUUCCCGACCUCUAGGGUUUCCGCAUCUCAAGCUUCGUUAGUGCAUGUCCAUUUUGCAAAAGCUUGAGAUAGACACUCUUCAGCAAACCGAUAACCAUAGUCACGCAACCCACUCGACGAUCUAGGAAGUCUCUAUCAGUCAGUUGACAGGAAACGCAAAACCGAAAGAUCACUAGAGAUUCCUAGGAACCAACCUGAAGGACUACACUACUAGUACGGGAGAGAACGAUAGGAACUUCGGAGUGGCGAUCACGCCAGUGAUGAUCUUGCCAUAGAAGUACACUAUGUUCUAAGUACUGAAAGGCUCUACCAUUCUGAGAGCUUAGGACCAUAUGAGAAUCCUCAUGGAGACUCGGUCCAACCCUUUUCCGCCCGCCACUACCUUCGGAUAUACCACAAGAUUCACACCCGAUCGAUCCACUUCUUAGACUUGAUAUGUGAUUUCCCGACAUCACUCUUCGUGCCUCACUCAUCUUGAUAGAAUCCAUUGAGAACCUCAACUUCAUAUAUAUUCUAGUUGGAACCCACUAGCUACACUAGACGAAAUCUGCAUCCCGUAUGUGAAGGUCUGUCGGAAUGACAAACACAGACCAAAGAUCACUUGGGAAUGCGAGGACAAACCGUAUAGGAAGUACUCGCUUACCUCUACAUGGCCAUUCAUACCUACUUCCUUGCCUAGACCUGAAUUUCGGGACGAAAUUCCCUCUAACGGAGGGAUGAUAAGACAACCCUAAGUUUAUUCCGUUACAUUACCCCGUUACCGUUAACGGAAUAUUCCGCUGUAUAAAGAUUUCGUUAAUAAGAGGUCGUUAAAUAAAUAAAUGUUUUAUUUGUUUAUGUUUUUAUGUCGUUAUAGUCGUAAUAAGGUAAAUGCAAACACUUAAAUUACAUUUCCAAAGUAAUUUAGAAAAAGUUAGUUUUUAUUAUUACGACCACUAAAUCGGGUGCGACCAAAAGCCCCGUAUAACGACAGUAUCGGGUAGAAUUCCACUGAGCUCCAACUCCCACCCAUAUAUAAAAGGGAGUAAACUCCAUUUGGAGCUUUUCCACCCUCUCUCUCUAUACUCUCUCUCUAGACUCGUUUUCACCUCGAAUCCGCAACCAAACGCUUCCAAAUUGUAAGUCUGCCUACCCUAGCUUAUUCUAAACAUAUUGAUUCGUGUUUAUAGCCCAAAAAUCGAACUUAGAAGCUGAUGAAAAGGAGUUCACGGCCUAAGAUCCUCCUUAGGCCGUAAACACCCUAUUUAAGGCCAAAAUGACCCAAACUUGUCCCUAAUGGCUUGGAAAUAAAUAGAGGAAUUAGCCUAGGAGUGUUUGCACAUUUAAAACAAUUAUUUUGGGACAUAAAAAAGAGUUUACGGCCCAAGCACUUUCUUAGGCCAUAAACACCUCUAAACCAUGUCAAAAAGCCCCAAACACACUCCUAAAACACCCUUAGGCUUCAUACAUAAUUUAGGGACUUAGUAUUUGGGGUUUGGAUCAAUUAAACACAUCAAAAUGAAGGGGAAAAAGGAGUUUACGGACCAGGUUUAUACCAAGACCGUAAACACCCCAAAACAUGCCCAAAUGUUGGUUUUUACCCCCCAAAUGUCCUUAGACAUUUACCAUAAAAAGCUAGGAUUGAAACAAGGGCAUAAACUCAAAGAUUGGUGGGUGUAUCAGAGUUCACGGCCAAGACAUAGAGCUUACGGCCGUAAACUCUCAAAGGUUGGUCAUUUGGACCAUAAACUCCAAAGGAGACCCCUUUUGGAACACCAAACACCCCUAUAGCCUUGAAUAAAUUGCUAAAAGUGAUAUAAGGGCAUGAAACUUCACCAAACUCAAGGGAUGAGAGUUUACGGCCGUAAACUCCCUUAGGAGUUUUCCCUAGGCCGUAAACUCCAAUAUAAUGCCCUUAGAAGCCUUAAACCCACUCAUGCCUUUUUGGAAAAGUACUUAGAAUAAUUCCAUGAACAAGUAGAAGCCUUAAAACACACUAGAUACCCUCACCAUGAGUUUACGGCCGUAAACUCAUGGUGAGUAGUCCCUGGGCCGUAAACUAAGUGUUAAGGGUUUACUCUCGGAGACUAAACUCCAUUCCUUAGCCAUACACACCUUUAGACGCGACCCGGGACACCCAAACACUUAUCUAAAGUGUUUUCCGCUCCUUUGAGUGCGUAUACUUGUUUAAUUAAUAUUAAAUAUACUAAUUGUAUGUGAACAUAUUGUAUCAUAUGUUAAAUAGGUCAUUGUGUGUGUUCAAGUCCUUGCGUGACACCGAACGCCCAAACGACACCUUCGUCGGACAUAAUUACAUCAGGUGAAUUCAUACCCCUGAAUGAACCUUUUUACAUGUUUUCACAUGUUUUAUAGGGGGGGAAUACAAGUUAAACAUGCCAGUUAUCAUAUCAAUUUCAUGUGAUUGAUAACCCGCUUGCACAAGAUUUUACCACUAUACACUGUUUUACCGAGUAGGACACUAUAAAUGGCUUUCAAAAAGGGUUUUCACUUGAUCAAGUUCUUACUUUUAUUGCUUUAUCAAAGUUCCAUUUUCAAACUAAUUUAAGAAAGAUUUCCAAAGGUUUACAAACAUAUUUUACAAAAGAAUACAAAUUAUGAUUUUUCCCCGAGAAUAAAGGUUUUACAAGAUUUUAAUCAAAGUUCUCUUUCACAACGUAUACUUUUACUUGUUGUUACUGCUGCUUCGCUUUUACUUAUUUAAAACUCCUACUUGAUAACGCAUUCCCUUCGUGAUACACUUAUACCGGAUUUUUGUCUCUAUAUCGCUUAUACUGGUAGCCUCUUAUACUUG
rnacentral:lncRNA from 1 species